UAAAUGUUGUUUCUUAUGCUCAAAUAGCGUUAUUUUUCAGGCUUGACGAACCAAUGCGCAUGUGCGGUCCUAAGCGCGAAUGUCAGGUUUCUAUGGGAACCGGAGCUUCUAACGGCAGCUGCGGUGACGCAAUGACUUUAUCAAUCAGCGAUUGGCUCUUUUACUUAGAAGGCGGGACUUAUUCCGCCAUAUUGCGUUGCAGUUUCUCCCAUUCUAAUCUUUGGUAACAAAAACACCAUCUCAAGAUGCCGGAGCUACUUUUCUCUAUUUACGGAUAUGACGAGACGGGCGAGUGACGUAUGUAAGCAAUUUCCCGCAAUUUCUAUUUUGUUCAUUUUGAACAGCAACAAAAAAGUUACAUCGUAUAAUAAAAUUAAACCUACAAAGCAAUAUUUAAAAAAUAAAUGAUUAAAAUUAACAUAAAAAAGAACCGCUAAUUCCAAAUAUUAAUAAAUCUGUAAUAAAACUAAAAUAACUGUUUCAAAGCAACCAUUUAAGUUCAGGUUUAUGCUCAAAAGGAGGGUGACGGUUAGAAGGUUAAAACCCUCCACAACAGUGGAUGAGGGUUACUUUGCUCCUCUAUUGUUGGUGGAUUACACUGGAGACUGACGCACACACACACGUGACAUAAUGCAGAAAUUAUAGCGCUGCAGCGACUGAGAGAAUAUUCAGAAAAUAACUCUCAUCCCGCUGAACACAUUCGGCGACUGGACCCCGUCGAUCCCUCAAUAAGAGCCUGAACCAGCAGCUGAGCCGCCGUUAAAUACCCGUGACGUCACUGGCCGCUGGUCCAAUCCGCUUCGGUCCGGUCCGGUCCAGCGCGGCUGCUUUAAGAGCUGAGGGAUGAGUGACAGCUGGACACACAGAGGCUUUAAAUCCGCCGAACAAGAGCUGCUCUGAACACUGUGCAGGACCUUCAGCAGUUCCCCAGCUGUUGCAUCUCUAAACAGCUCAGAUGGACCGAUCCGCACAAGAACUGUUUCUGAACUUUAUGGUUGUAUUCAUCACAGUUCUGCUCAUGUGGUUACUGGUCAAACAAUAUCAGGACUCAUGAAGAGCUCAUCAUCAUCAUCGGAGGAUGGCCAGUCAGCUGUGAUCAUGAGACCAGACGGUGAUGUUUCUGCAGACGGAUGGAAGAUCUGCCAAUCAGGAUAGAUCGUCCAGUGAUGUUGUCACCAUGUCCUUAUGGAUUAUUGUUAUAUAUGAUUUGCUAGUCUGGAUGUUUAAUUCGACAAAUUGGGAAAAAAAUGAAUAGCCGAAAGAGUAGCAAUGUAUUGAUUUAAGAUAUAGUUUUAUUUGUUUUAAUAAACAACUCUUUGGCAAUGCA